UGCCUCCAUGGGCGCAGCCUGAUCCAGCCAUACCGCGUGGGUGAAGAAGGCCUUCGGGUUGUAAAGCCCUUUUGUUGGGAAAGAAAUCCAGCCGGCUAAUACCUGGUUGGGAUGACGGUACCCAAAGAAUAAGCACCGGCUAACUUCGUGCCAGCAGCCGCGGUAAUACGAAGGGUGCAAGCGUUACUCGGAAUUACUGGGCGUAAAGCGUGCGUAGGUGGUUGUUUAAGUCUGUUGUGAAAGCCCUGGGCUCAACCUGGGAACUGCAGUGGAAACUGGACAACUAGAGUGUGGUAGAGGGUAGCGGAAUUCCCGGUGUAGCAGUGAAAUGCGUAAAGAUCGGGAGGAACAUCCAUGGCGAAGGCAGCUACCUGGACCAACACUGACACUGAGGCACGAAAGCGUGGGGAGCAAACAGGAUUAGAUACCCUGGUAGUCCACGCCCUAAACGAUGCGAACUGGAUGUUGGGUGCAAUUUGGCACGCAGUAUCGAAGCUAACGCGUUAAGUUCGCCGCCUGGGGAGUACGGUCGCAAGACUGAAACUCAAUGAAAAUUGACGGA
rnacentral:rRNA from 1 species